GACGAAGGGUGCUAGCGUUGUUCGGAACGACUGGGCGUAAAGGGCGCGUAGGCGGUCUUUUAAGUUAGGCGUGAAAGCCCCGGGCUUAACCCGGGACGUGCGCUUAAGACUGGAAGACUUGAGUAUGGAAGAGGUAAGUGGAAUUCCUAGUGUAGAGGUGAAAUUCGUAGAUAUUAGGAAGAACACCAGUGGCGAAGGCGGCUUACUGGUCCAUUACUGACGCUGAGGUGCGAAAGUGUGGGGAGCAAACAGG
rnacentral:rRNA from 1 species